rnacentral:rRNA from 1 species
GUGCCAGCAGCCGCGGUAAUACGGAGGGUGCGAGCGUUGUUCGGAUUUAUUGGGCGUAAAGCGCGUGCAGGCGGUUUUCUAAGUCUGAUGUGAAAGCCCCGGGCUUACCCCGGGAAGUGCAUUGGAAACUGGGAGACUUGAGUACGGGAGAGGGCAGCGGAAUUCCUGGUGUAGGGGUGAAAUCCGCAGAUAUCAGGAAGAACACCGGUGGCGAAGGCGGCUGCCUGGACCGAUACUGACGCUGAGACGCGAAAGCGUGGGGAUCAAACAGGAUUAGAUACCCUGGUAGUCC